CUCCAAGAGCCCCUGCGCAUGCUUGUAACUGACUUUGUUAUGUGUCUUGUCUUUUAGCUGGCAGUUCGUCAUAAAAAUGGAGGACGCUUGCAAGAUACUAUGAAUCGUGCGGAAUAAGGGCCAGCGCGACUGAAGUGAGAAACGCUGCAAAUACAUGAAUACUGGGGGCCUGGCAAAAAUCAGCAAAGCUGCUACACAGUUCCCACAGAAUUCCCAGUUCACUCACAAUUGGCUUUGGGAUGGACAGGAUUGCUGACAGUUGGUGAGUCUAAGUCAUCUUCAGGUGAAGUAGCAUUGAUGUCUAUUAGUACCAAUUCGUGAC